rnacentral:lncRNA from 1 species
AGCUUAUCUCCAUUUUACAAAUGGCGGAUCAUCAUCAUCUUCAUCAUAAUCGUCAUCUUCGUAAAGCUGGGAAAACCCCCAGAUCACAAACACUCCCAUCCUCCCCUACUCAUUCAUCCUCCUCCUCCGAUUUCGAAUUCACCAUCUCUCUCUCCCCUCGCAAAUCCUCCGCCACCAAUCUUUGCCCCGCCGACGACCUCUUUUACAAGGGCCAACUUCUCCCUCUUCACCUCUCCCCUCGCAUUUCCAUGGUACGCACCUUGCUUCUCUCUUCCUCCUCCACAUCUUCAUCCGCCACCACCGCCCGCCACUCCUCUGACUCCCACUCCUCCUUCUCCACCGACGGAUGCGACUCCUCCCGACCCAGCUCCGUCACUGACGACGACCUUCAUCUCCAAACCAAACUAUUCCCUUCUACCUUACAAACCCAGCCUUUCAUCUCCCACCACCACAAGAAACCCAAUAAGUACUUCUCCUUAUCUAGAUUCUCAUCUGUCUUCCGCAAGGAAACCAAAGCUCCGGCCACCACUGGUACUACUACCGCCGCCCGUAUUGACCAAGAUAUCUUAACCGGAUCUUCCGUUAAACGCAUGAGUGUGACAGCUAAAGAAAUGAUACGAAAGUAUCUGAAGAAAGCAAAACCGUUGUACGAAAAGCUAUCGCAAAGACAGGGUCAGACUUUUCAGGUUAAGAAAACGGGUCCUCCUCCACCUCCUCCUAAAACGGAGGAGAUCAGAAGCAACAAGGAAAACGACGUAAUCUCUCACUCGUUCUCAGGAAAUCUCCGGUAUCCUAGAAGGAGAAGCUGCGUAUCGAGCUGCCCAUCAUCCAUGCGGUCAUCUCCUAGUCACUCUGGAGUUC